AUACGUAGGGAGCGAGCGUUGUCCGGAAUUACUGGGCGUAAAGGGCGCGUAGGCGGCCGUCCAAGUCCGGUGUUAAAUGGUCGGGCUCAACCCGAUCAUGCGCUGGAAACUGGGCGGCUUGAGUCCCGUAGGGGAUGCCGGAAUUCCAGGUGUAGGGGUGAAAUCUGUAGAUAUCUGGAAGAACACCGAUGGCGAAGGCAGGCAUCUGGCCGGAGACUGACGCUGAGGCGCGAAGGCGCGGGGAGCGAACAGGUUUAGAUACCCUGGUAGUCCGCGCAGUAAACGAUGCGCACCAGGUGUCGGGCGGCAGCGCCCGGUACCGGAGCUAACGCGAUGAGUGCGCCGCCUGGGGAGUAUGCCCGCAAGGGUGAAACUCAAAGGAAUUGACGGGG
rnacentral:rRNA from 1 species